rnacentral:rRNA from 1 species
GAUGAACGCUGGCGGCGUGCCUAAUACAUGCAAGUCGAGCGAACGGGCGAGAAGCUUGCGUCUCGGAUGUUAGCGGCGGACGGGUGAGUAACACGUGGAUAACCUACCUAUAAGACUGGGAUAACUUCGGGAAACCGGAGCUAAUACCGGAUAAUAUUUUGAACCGCAUGGUGCAAAAGUAAAAGACGGUCUUGCGGUCACUUAUAGAUGGAUCCGCGCUGCAUUAGCUAGUUGGUAAGGUAACGGCUUACCAAGGCAACGAUGCAUAGCCGACCUCAGAGGGUGGUCGGCCACCCUGGAGCUGAACCACGGUCCUGACUACUACGGGAGGCAGCAGUAGGGAAUCUUCCGCAAUGGGCGAAAGCCUUGCGGAGCAACGCCGCGUGAGUGGUGACGGUCUUCGGAUCGUAAAACUCUGUUAUUAGGGAAGAACAGAUGUGUAAGUAACUGUGCACAUCUUGACGGUACCUAAUCAGAAAGCCCCGGCUAACUACGUG